GGAUGAACGCUAGCUACAGGCUUAACACAUGCAAGUCGAGGGGAAACGAUAUUGGAAGCUUGCUUCCGAUAGGCGUCGACCGGCGCACGGGUGAGUAACGCGUAUCCAACCUGCCCAUCACUUGGGGAUAACCUUGCGAAAGUAAGACUAAUACCCAAUGAUAUCUCAAGAAGACAUCUGAAUGAGAUUAAAGAUUUAUCGGUGAUGGAUGGGGAUGCGUCUGAUUAGCUUGUUGGCGGGGUAACGGCCCACCAAGGCUACGAUCAGUAGGGGUUCUGAGAGGAAGGUCCCCCACAUUGGAACUGAGACACGGUCCAAACUCCUACGGGAGGCAGCAGUGAGGAAUAUUGGUCAAUGGGCGAGAGCCUGAACCAGCCAAGUAGCGUGCAGGAUGACGGCCCUAUGGGUUGUAAACUGCUUUUAUAAGGGAAUAAAGUGAGCCUCGUGAGGCUUUUUGCAUGUACCUUAUGAAUAAGGACCGGCUAAUUCCGUGCCAGCAGCCGCGGUAAUACGGAAGGUCCGGGCGUUAUCCGGAUUUAUUGGGUUUAAAGGGAGCGUAGGCCGGAGAUUAAGCGUGUUGUGAAAUGUAGAUGCUCAACAUCUGCACUGCAGCGCGAACUGGUUUCCUUGAGUACGCACAAAGUGGGCGGAAUUCGUGGUGUAGCGGUGAAAUGCUUAGAUAUCACGAAGAACUCCGAUUGCGAAGGCAGCUCACUGGAGCGCAACUGACGCUGAAGCUCGAAAGUGCGGGUAUCGAACAGGAUUAGAUACCCUGGUAGUCCGCACGGUAAACGAUGGAUGCCCGCUGUUGGUCUGAAUAGGUCAGCGGCCAAGCGAAAGCAUUAAGCAUCCCACCUGGGGAGUACGCCGGCAACGGUGAAACUCAAAGGAAUUGACGG
rnacentral:rRNA from 1 species